UACGUAGGGUGCGAGCGUUAAUCGGAAUUACUGGGCGUAAAGGGUGCGCAGGCGGCUUGCUAAGACAGGUGUGAAAGCCCCGAGCUUAACUUGGGAAUGGCGCUUGAGACUGGCACGCUAGAGUUCGGGAGGGGAUGGUGGAAUUCCCAGUGUAGAGGUGAAAUUCGUAGAUAUUGGGAAGAACACCGAUGGCGAAGGCAGCCAUCUGGACCGACACUGACGCUGAGGCGCGAAAGCGUGGGGAGCAAACAGG
rnacentral:rRNA from 1 species